rnacentral:tRNA from 1 species
GCAUCCGUGGCGGAACUGGUACACGCGGCAGUCUUUAAAACUGAAGCCCUGAGAAGCGUGCGGGUUCGAGCCCCGCCGGAUGCA